GCAAGUCGAGCGGAAACGAAGAGGUGCUUGCACCUCUGGCGUCGAGCGGCGGACGGGUGAGUAAUGCUUGGGAAUAUGCCUUAUGGUGGGGGUCAACAGUUGGAAACGACUGCUAAUACCGCAUUAUGUCUACGGACCAAAGUGGGGGACCUUCGGGCCUCACGCCAUAAGAUUAGCCCAAGUGGGAUUAGCUAGUUGGUGAGGUAAUGGCUCACCAAGGCGACGAUCCCUAGCUGGUUUGAGAGGAUGAUCAGCCACACUGGGACUGAGACACGGCCCAGACUCCUACGGGAGGCAGCAGUGGGGAAUAUUGCACAAUGGGCGCAAGCCUGAUGCAGCCAUGCCGCGUGUGUGAAGAAGGCCUUCGGGUUGUAAAGCACUUUCAGUAAGGAGGAAAGGUUAAGUGUUAAUAGCGCUUAGCUGUGACGUUACUUACAGAAGAAGCACCGGCUAACUCCGUGCCAGCAGCCGCGGUAAUACGGAGGGUGCGAGCGUUAAUCGGAAUUACUGGGCGUAAAGCGUACGCAGGCGGUUUGUUAAGCGAGAUGUGAAAGCCCCGGGCUC
rnacentral:rRNA from 1 species